GGGUUGUGAGGUUAAGCGACUAAGCGUACACGGUGGAUGCCCUGGCAGUCAGAGGCGAUGAAGGACGUGCUAAUCUGCGAAAAGCGUCGGUAAGGUGAUAUGAACCGUUACAGCCGGCGAUGUCCGAAUGGGGAAACCCAGUGCAAUUCGUUGCACUAUCGUUAACUGAAUACAUAGGUUAACGAGGCGAACCGGGGGAACUGAAACAUCUAAGUACCCCGAGGAAAAGAAAUCAACCGAGAUUCCCCCAGUAGCGGCGAGCGAACGGGGAGCAGCCCAGAGUCUGAAUCAGCUUGUGUGUUAGUGGAACGGUCUGGAAAGUCCGACGGUACAGGGUGAUAGUCCCGUACACCAAAAUGCACAGGCUGUGAACUCGAAGAGUAGGGCGGGACACGUGGUAUCCUGUCUGAAUAUGGGGGGACCAUCCUCCAAGGCUAAAUACUCCUGACUGACCGAUAGUGAACCAGUACCGUGAGGGAAAGGCGAAAAGAACCCCGGCGAGGGGAGUGAAAAAGAACCUGAAACCGUGUACGUACAAGCAGUGGGAGCACCUUAUGGUGUGACUGCGUACCUUUUGUAUAAUGGGUCAGCGACUUAUAUUCUGUAGCAAGGUUAACCGUAUAGGGGAGCCGCAGGGAAACCGAGUCUUAACUGGGCGUUAAGUUGCAGGGUAUAGACCCGAAACCCGGUGAUCUAGCCAUGGGCAGGUUGAAGGUUGGGUAACACUAACUGGAGGACCGAACCGACUAAUGUUGAAAAAUUAGCGGAUGACUUGUGGCUGGGGGUGAAAGGCCAAUCAAACCGGGAGAUAGCUGGUUCUCCCCGAAAGCUAUUUAGGUAGCGCCUCGUGAAUUCAUCUUCGGGGGUAGAGCACUGUUUCGGCUAGGGGGUCAUCCCGACUUACCAACCCGAUGCAAACUACGAAUACCGAAGAAUGUUAUCACGGGAGACACACGGCGGGUGCUAACGUCCGUCGUGAAGAGGGAAACAACCCAGACCGCCAGCUAAGGUCCCAAAGUCACAGUUAAGUGGGAAACGAUGUGGGAAGGCACAGACAGCCAGGAUGUUGGCUUAGAAGCAGCCAUCAUUUAAAGAAAGCGUAAUAGCUCACUGGUCGAGUCGGCCUGCGCGGAAGAUGUAACGGGGCUAAACUGUGCACCGAAGCUGCGGCAGCGACACU
rnacentral:rRNA from 1 species